UGUAGUCUCGGCUUUGCCGUGCCGGCCGAGAAGUGUGGAGGUGAAGUAGUUUUUCUCCUGUAAUCCUUUGUGCUUCUUAGGUGGGGUUACUUCGGUACCGCAGGUGUGAUUUCGCGCUGCCGAACCCGAACAUCAAGUCCUUAUGUAUUUUCGGCGAGAAAUCUCUUCACGUUCUCCUUCGCUCCUAGAAUUAAGAAGACCCAGCAUCCAGAAUAGAAAACUUAAAAUGCUGACUUCUGCUGCAGCUUGUGAAGAACUAUAGCUCCUAUGGUUCACUGCUUCCUUCAGUUUGUUUGCUCUUGAAUUCAUGGUUUAGAAUUAAAAUAUACCUGAAGGAUGCUAGGUCACAGCAAAAUUAAUUAUCUGCUAUCAGAUAUGUAUUCUUGGCAUCAGAAGCACCAAGCUCUAAUUUUCUGAAGUAACCAACAUCUUCCACAUGGGGAUGAAAACUCAAUUACCAGGGAGAAUUGACAACUUCAAUACAACGGAGACAUGCAUUUAUUAGUGCUUCUCAUUAAAUGUCUUCCUGGAUUUUUUUCUCCAACAAUGUUCCUGGUAUGCUGCCAGAUGACUGCCCCAAAUGCUUUACAAUUGUGGGAUUUUAUGAUUUAAAAGUAAUUUAAAAAUCAAUCCCUUCUGCCAUUUACUCUAAGAGACACUCACAUGCUUUGUAUUGUUCUGAAAUAUGGUCAAAUGAGAGAAGCUUUCCCUGGCCUUCAGUGUCCUCUGAGUCAGAGUUAUACCUUCCUCUCAUUUGAGUUCCAUUUAAUGAGAAUGGUAAAUAUUUUUGGUAGGCUUCACUUCCUUCAUUCUUUCUCUUUCCCUCCCUUCCUGAAGUGGUGCCAGGAAGCUGCUCUGGAAUUUUUGUCUACCUUCUAUUCUGCAUCUUUCCCAAACCUUUCUAUCCUGUCUUUUUCUUGUCUUUGUUUAACUUUUCCACACUGCCCAGUAGGCAGCAUAAAAAUUAAAAUGCAUGUAUUUUAAGAAAAGUAUGAGCAGUAUCAUUUCUGCAGAGCAAGCAAGGGUUCUUGAAACCCCGGUGUUCUUCACCCAAGAUAAAACAGAAUGAUAAACAUCUUAAGUAGAGAUAGUUUGCUUAGGAGACAAACAUUUUCUUUAAUGGCAGUUCAAAAUUCUCAUUCUUGUUUUAUAAUAUUAUUUGGGCAACACAGGUUUGCUUUUUGUUUGUUUUAAUGAAUGAAUACACUGGUUCAAUGGCAGGCUAAAUAAUAGCCUCCCUAAAAAUGCCCAUGUCCUAAACCCUGGAAUCUAUGAAUCUGCUACUUUCCAUGGCAGAGUGAUUUUGCAGAGGUGAUUAAGAUAAGGAGUUUGAGAUGAGGAGAUAAUAGAGGAUUAUCUGGGUGGGACCAAUGUAAUUACAAAGGUCCUUAUAAAGAGGAAAGCCACCAUUCUAAAAGGUGACAGGGUGAUGACAGCAGAGGUUGGAGUGAUGAUGUUUCUGGAAAGGGGUCAUGAGCCAACAAAUAUCUGUAGUGUUUAGUGACUGGAAAAAGCAAGGAAGCAGAUUCUCCCCUAACGCCUCUAGGAGGAAUGCAGCCCUGCUGACCCCUGGGAACUGCCAGCCUCCAGAACUGUAAGAAGUUCCGUUUGUAUUGUUUCAAGCUACUAAGUCUGUUGUAGUUUGUUUAUAGCAUCAAUAGAAAACUGUUGUCAUUGAAAUGUGAAAGG